UGACCUGUUGAAGUGCUGGUCCCGGCAAGUGAGCUCCCAUCGAUUUCCACAUUUUAAGAAGACGUAUUGCUCAGUAAAGUCUUAACUGAAAAUCAGUUAUUUGUAGAGCCGGAAUGUGUUAUCUUUUAUCGUCAAACAACUGAGAAGCUAAUGCACAUCGUGUGGAAAGCUGUGGCCAGAAAAACUGGUUCAGAGGAUGCACUUCAAUUUGUUUCACCUUGGUAUAAAUUAGAUCGCCUUAGGUUGAUACUGUAAAUGCUAUCCAACUGCACCUCUAAAAGGUUCAGAAAAAUGUAGUCUAAUGAAAAUUCGUCUGAUGGUGUGCGAUUUUGUUACAUCUUGAAAUUGACAACAACUGGUGGAAACAAACCAAGGAAGAGAGAUACCGACAGUGAUUUCCAACAUUGCGACUUGCUUUACGGGGUUUAUGUCAGUGUUAGCGGAGAUUAGUUUCAAGCUGCACAACGUAAAACAAAAUUGACGGUGUUAGAUGAGGAGAUAAUGUGUCAGAUAUAGUUCAAGUUUGAUGGAAUUUUCCUUUCAGCCAGCGGCCUGAGUGACAAGGACGCAGUAAGGUUGUAGGAUUCGACCGACAGUGAAGAAAAUGAUUUAACUUAAAUCAAUUUACGAAUAGAAAACUUGUGUUUAAGUUUACUUUGAAGGUGAUCAGUAUUCGGACAGUCACGCUACCAUGUUGGUAGCCAAAAAGUACCACAUUGCACAAUUACAUUGUUGAUGCAGCAUGCGAAGGCGGGAACGAUUAGUAUCCUAGACAUUUCGCAUAGAGAUAUUCGAAGAAAUCCUCCAUUUUGUCUACUCAGGUUGACCCUUUACACCACUUAACUAAGCCUAGCUGCUGUUUGGGGCAGCAAAAUUUGAUAUCCAUUAACUGGAAAAGCAAUGGCUACAUUUCCUUGAACUCUUGCAACCCAAUAGACAACGUCGAUCAGUUGAUUACUUGGGAACAGUUAUGGUCAGCCGGCGAGCUUUUCAAGGCAGCUGUCAAAGACAAUUGAAGAAAGCUUUUCCCUAUGGAAAUUUUACCAGUGAAAUAAAGAUGGCAAAUUGUUUUGGUGAAUUUACGAAGGCGUACAAUUCUUACUUUCCCAAAAGUAUACGGCUAGCAGUCGGUCUCUAAGGAUUUUGCGGCAGCUGUUUCCUAUCGUCUCUCGCUAAGUCCCUCAGCGCAGUCACCCAUGUAGCCGCUGUAUCGAUCUGUUAUAAGAGACCAAGGGAAACAAGUCAGAUGUUUCGUGCAAAAGUCGCGCAUUUGCGUGUCCUGUUCCAGUUUCUCGUGCAAUAACAUGGCCUUGGCCGUCGGAUAGUCCAAGACGAAAUGAUUCGUGGUGGAUAGCAUCGCAUAAUUAAAGAGAGAAUCAAGAAAUCAACUGUAUUUUAAGUACCAGAACGGUACAUAAAUCGUUCUUACGACGCUGUUUAUCAGCAAGCGAAUGAACGCACUGACUCUCGUCGCUCGGCAAAAUUGAAUUAAACCCGUGAAAGCCGAAGAAGAAGUGAAUUGACGUCACGUUGACUGGAAAUAGCAGUUCCCCCACGCAGCAAAACAACGUAGAAAAAAGUUUGCAAAUAAUUGAGUACACACAAAAAUUAUAAUAAGUAAAUUACACAUCAGCCAUUGCUGUUGUAUCUUACAACGUUUUAAUUAUAUUUUAACAGUUAAAAAACGAUGAGAUUCCAUCAGCUAUCGAGGUGUGUGAGAUAUUUUGACGAGAACACCUACUACGAGGACGAUAACGAACACAAGAACCUGCCAUGAAGAAGGUGAUGAUUUUGGCGAAGAAGUUGAGGCUGCCCUCCUCUCUAGGAAGCUCGUUCCGUUGCUGGUAGCGAGCAUUUUGCUUGUCUGCUUCCAGAUCAUUCUCUGUUAGCUGAGGAAAAGCGAGCCGUUGGGUAAGAGAUAACUGGACGGCGGAGGCUGCGUCGCAAUAAGGAUCAUCGAACAUGUCCAGUACGGCAGGGUGGUUCAUUUCGUUUCCAGCAAGGCUCAGCAGCAGGGCGUCGUUGAUUCCGCCUUCGUUCAGGCACAGCCUCAGGUAUGGACUGGUUGUUCCGAGAUAAUGAUCAAUUAUUAUACAUUUCUGCCCAUAUGGAGGGAUACUAUUCACAUAAAUGGUAGCUCUGGAACUCGCAGAAUAGCUCGAAGACAUAAAGGGAAUGUUCGCUUUUUCUUUUUUUUUUUUGGUCUUCUACGUAAAUGUUCAUUUAUAAGUCAAGGAUUCCAAAUUAAGGGAUGCCUGCCUUGUACACUCAGCAAAUCACUAGAGGGCGUAUGGAAAUUGGAUCGUAAUUGGAUAACGUGAAACUACUCCACAUUGCUACUUGUACAACUGAAUCGCAUAUACAAAAGCGUAGUGGUAAGAUCAAAGCCAAGAAACCAAUCCUUCCAGUUCCAACCUAUAUAAUCCAUGUGCACCAAUUAUGUCUGUAUGUAGGUCAAGACGAUGCUUUACAGUGGGAUCGCGUGACUAGGCUAUGCAAUCUUGUUUUAGUCCUGAAGGAUUUCUCUUCUACGCCGAAACAGUGUCGUCUUACGUUUAGGCGUGGCGUUCACGCCUGUCAUAGACGUUUUUCAUAAUUGACGUGACGGCGCUUUCUGCAGCUAUUUGAUAAAAACAAGAGCCGGAUUUCCGUCUUGCACCCAGGAAAAUACUUCCCUGCAGACGUGAAUGAUCAAUGACGAGUUAUAUGUUGGAGCUUUGAAAUACCCUCAAGCAGUAAAAAAAAAAAUAAUAAUAAUUCUAUGAUUGUAUACUUGGAUAGGCUGAAGUGUGAUGCCAUCAGCGAAGACGUGGAUCCCAAAUGUGAAUUAGCUGACAGUUGGCGUUCCAUGACCUUAUUAUUAUCGGCUUGAUGCAGAUGAUCGGAAGUUGAAGACAGCCAGAGGCUAUUAGGUACUUUGGAUGGAACGGAGAGAAACGUCGAUCGAGAUGAGCUUCUGGACAACAUUCCCGAAUGGUGGUGUGGAGAAAGUGUCGGUUUGUUGGCUGAGCCGUCCGUUCGUGAAUCAACGUUCUCCAUGCAGGACUCGCUGCGAACCGAGCUGAAACUGGGAUUGCGAGUAUGUGAAUAUCCAAGUUCCUGAUCGGCUAGAAAAUGUGAUGAUUCUUGCGAAUCGUAACUGCGACUGUGUUCACUGAUAAUGGACGAGUGUUCGUCGAAACUCCGAUCAAUGCUGGGCUGCCGAUAGACAUCCCUUUGAACGCAGAUCUUGGGUGAAGAUGUUUUUUGUUUACGACCGAUUGUUGUAAUCUGAGUUCCAGUCGAAUCGGACCAGCUGGCCGCCGAAUUGUUAGUCUCUUCCAUCUCCAUCUGGUGUUCACAUUCACUGGGCAACGAGCGAAUCUUUUGGAAAUGUUCUGAUCGUGGCCAACCAUCCAGGCUGUAAUCCACUGGCAAAAAAUUGCGGUGGUGCCUGUAGGAUAUAAUCACAUAAAAUUCUUUUUGUUAUCGUGAGAAUUGAGGUCAAAUGGAAAAUUAAUGGGCCCCUCGUGGUUGCCUUGACUUUUUACAUUUCCUUUGGAACGUCAAGAAAGAAGAAGUGUGGUGAGCGCCUUUUUUAUUUUUAGAGAAUGUACGUCUAGCACAAAGAAGAAAACAAGCAGUUCACAAAACAAAGCCUCUCAGGCACCAGUGGAAUUCACCGGGAAUCCAUCUUGCAGUUUAACAAUGAUGCAGCCCAAAGGAUGAAAGUUAUCCAACAAUCAGCUACUAUAAUUUGAAAGCGGGUCUAUGUCUAACACGUAUCAGCCAUCAGCGUUACCGUCGGCGUUUCUAGUCGCCCUCAUCACGCAUUCAUAAGGAAAAUAUUGAUUUUUCGCUGGAACUAACCCGCAGCAUGAUACACGCCGUGCUGUUUUUAAUAGCAUUAAGGAACGUCCGUCCUUACAUACCGUAGUUAAAAGCUUUUUCUAGGAAAACGGAUACGUCUAGAAUUUAGUCUGACCUUUUCUGAGUUCCGUGGGCGCUAUUUUCAACGAUGGAUGGUUUAUCUUCUUUCAAGUUUGGUUGAUGCUUCUCCAGACUGCUGCGCAGACUUCCUAGUUUCAUCCGGCUUGGCACAGUUAAGUGAUUCGCCGACAGGUCCAAUACGAAGGAUUGUUCGUGCAACUUGUUGUCUAUCACGGUGGGACUCGCCAGCUGAGAGUCGAUGCCGGAAUCUGAAAGUUGGCUAUCGCUUCGACUUGUGAGUUGCUCAAUCUGCCCCAGCCGGGAGCAGAUUUCUUCCGACGCCAGUUUUACUAGAGAAGUAUCCGACUGGUUUGAAUCGUUACUAGACCAUAUUUGCACUAUCGGAUUGUCUGAUGAAGUAUCCUGAUUAAGAACGGUGAUGUGCCAAUCGGGCAUUGUAGAUCGAUCAGCUAACGAAUCACUUUCACAGCUUUGCUCGUCCGUAACGUUGCCUAGCACUUCUUCCUUUCCUGUAGCCAGGCCUUUAACCGGAACCACAUCCGGUAAACGAGUGUCUGCCAUGAAAACAGCCUAGCGUUUCUUUCACAUUAACUUUGGUUCCACCAUUAGAUUCUAUAGUGUUGAUGGCAUUAUAGUUGAAAGUAGGAAGUUUUCUCCGUCGUGAGGAUCUGGGAGGCCAAUAGUUCUAAAGAAAACACAACAAAAACUCGUCAGUGGUUUAAUGCCAUGCAUUUUGUUUAUAUAGCCAUUACGGACGAAUUUCAGAUAGCAUGAUCCACUCACAUAACUCUCCUCGUGCAUCUUCAUUGAUUUUACAAUGAAACCAAUAAGCAAACGAACGCGUUGAGCUGCUACUAUUCUAUAGCUCUAAAGUGGGUAAUGCAAUUUUGAACGGCCCUGGCUUGAAGCUCUCUGGCGGAAAACCGUUUAGACAUUUCGAUGUUGAUAGCUGCCUUUUAUAUAGGCUUUUGCAAUUGGAUGUCAAACAUGAAAUAGAAGAUUGUCAAAACAAAAAAUAAGGUCACGGAAGCAAACAACCAGUGUGGUCUUUAUGUUGCUAUAAAUAUAACCCCGGGAAGGAAAGAAAAACUCUUAUUCCCGUUCUGCUCUAAAGGCUUCAAGUCGUGAUGGAUGGCGUUUUCCCUCCUCGACAGAUGUUAGGGCAACUUCUCACGAGUUUCUUUCUUUUUUUGGAUAACCUCCUAUUCUAGCACUCUACUGUUGGUUUCCCAACGCUCUGUCCAAGUUUAGAUCAUGCUGUGCGACACACAUAAAUGCUUCCAUCGUUGCCUUGCCAACAACUGAAACAUGUAUUGUCCUUUGCUCUUCCUUUUGUUUCUUUCCUUUUUUUUUUUUUUUUUUUAUUUUUGCAGUUGACAGUUGUGUCAAUUCAAAUGCCAACAAAUUCAAAUGUGUGAAUCUAGUGCACUGUCCACGUGUUGUCCACUCAGUCGGAUCGGCUAGACAAGACAUCGAAAAUCGAUGGUUGAUUCUUUUGUUUAUAUCCCGUUUCUAUGCCUACAAUUUUACCUGUGUGCACUUUCCAAAGUUUUGGAAUGACGACACAAGUCCAGCACCAGAGUCUUAAUCAAUAGAUGCACAGAUAAUAGCAAAGUUGCAGUCAAUAGUUUCUGAUAGGAAGGUUACGCUGGAGCGAACGGAUGCACGACGUGAUGAUCAUCGCAAGCUGACGAUAGGGCGUCGCGGGGCGUGCGACGCCUAGCUCUCCUCUGAAUGACGUCCAAUCCCAAACUGAUUUCACGUACUAGACUAGCAAGUGACUAUAACAAGAAAAGGGGGUGAAGAAUACGGGACUUAGAUAUAUUGCAGCGACGGCGCUCUGCUGACCAGUAGACAGAAAGAUUGGACCACUAGUUGCGUUCGGUUUUCCACUUUCGUUAUUUCUUUUUUUUUCUGAAAUUUUUGUUGAUUUUUCUCAUCAUCGAUCCAGGUAAGACGUCGCUACCGAUCUAACUGCAUCGUAUGUAUAUUUCUUAUAGCAACAUUGUUAUAGUCUGCGCACGCACCCAAACGGAUUGCUCCUCGACUAUUCAAUAAGUCUUGUGGGUACUGUAUUCUUACCAGAAAAGGGGGAAAUAGAAUUCUUCCUAGUCAUGGACGUUUUGCACUAGGAAUGAUUUAAAUUUUAAUCUAAUUGCUCUUUCAAAGGUCAAAGAUUCAUAAGAAAAAAAAUGGACGUAAGAAGUUUCUGGAUGCCAUGGAAAUGGACAUUCGUUAACGACAUUCUAUGGAAAAGUCUGCGAAAAUUUUCUUCGCGGCUCGAAUGCAACGCGUCAACAGCCACAAACAAAAAAAAACCCAGAGGGAUAUUAACUAUGGAGCAAACAUCCGAGAUUGUUUCAAAUUUACUCGUAUUACGUACUGUUCAAGUCAUGCCCCUCUCUUCAUCAUUUUACAUUUCUUCUUAAGGGUGUGAACUGUAUCAGUGAUUAUCGGAAGGCCACCGUAGACAACAUAGCUCCCAAACACUGGACAAUAUUAGACGUCAUUAGUACAUCAACUUCCUCUUCUAAAUGGCGCUUCGGGUCUUGACGGCCAACGUUCUUAACUGCAAGCUGCUCAGGUGUCAUCUUUUCUUCUUCUUCCAACGCCUGAUAAAACAAAGUUAGUCUAAGAAUCUAGUCACCCAUCAGGUACAGCAUGUUUUGGUAUUUACUUUGUUAUAAGUUUUCGCUAGUUCGAGCAUGCUGCGAACACUCUGUUCAUUGCUUUUGCAGUGUUGCUCGUAUUCGGCUAGCGACAAUCCCUCGGUCCAAGAUUUCUUGUGCAAAUUCCACAACAUUUUUUGUUCAAGUUCGUUCUUCCUGUAGUUGAUGCUGAUGGAAUAGUAGUGACGAUUGAGUCCAUGAAUCAAGGCCUGAAGAAAUAAAUCCGAAUUUUCGAAA